AGACACAAAAGAUGUGUAUCAAGCUCUCGAAUCCACAUGCUGGACCACAGGUGAUGCUUGUCAACUCUGGCGAGGAGCAUCACACAGCGAUGGGGAGCCCAUUUUCUCCUUUGCGCUCCCAAUAACAUUAUGUCAAAAUCUGCAGAGCCAUAGUUUUGGUGCGUAAAGAAUUCGUGUGCAUAGAAAUGUCUGCCUGCCAUAGUGGAAGGGGUUGCUUCCGACGAUGCAUAAUAAAACUCCCUGAAAAGCCGUUUA